CGUCUUUUGCAAACCCCCAUAAAAGAUAAUGCCUGCCCAGUGAAUUUUUAAACGGCCGCGUUAGCGUGAGCGUGCUAAGGUAGCGUAAUAAUUAGCCUCUUAAUUGGAGGCCAGUGAAAGGCAACACCGGGAAUACCUGUACUUUAUAUGUUAAAAAACUUUCUCUCUAAGUGAAAAAUCUUAGAUAGUAAUGGAAGACGAAAAGACCCCGCGGAACUUUACCUUUUCUCUAGACUUUCCGCACAUAAAUAGGUAACAAGGUUUGAUUGGGGCAAUCUCGGAACCACCCAAGCUUCCGACUUUUUUAACAAACAUCAAAAAUUUGUUAUGGACCAAAGAGAAGUUACCCCGGGGAUAACAGCGUUAUCCAACUUGAGAGUACACAUCGAAAGUUGGGUUUGCGACCUCGAUGUUGGCUUAAGGACAUCCACAUUAGUGCAGCCGCUAUGAAUGGACAGUCUGUUCGACUAUUAUACCCUU
rnacentral:rRNA from 1 species